rnacentral:sRNA from 15 species
AUUCAUAUAUUAAAACAAAAACCAAAUUAAAAUACGUAAAGAAAGCAAAAUGGUUGGUAGUCGACAUUUUUCGAAGAUUAGUUAAGAAAGAAAGGGAUGAGAUAGCUAGAAAAUUUGAACUUAUUGAACGCCAAGGAGUAGAAAGGGAAAUUCAGAGAGAAGUAGCAGAGCAUAAAACCUGUGCCAGAAGAACAGCCAAUAUCGCAUUCGGCAGAGCAACGUAUAAUGGCUGCAUUUUCUAGAUUAGAAAAAAAACUUGAUGUGCUAUCACAAACAUUGGCGGAGGCGGUGGCUCUGCUCAAGCUUCAGACUAAAAAAGAGCCAGAUCUAUCACCCAAUGCCAUUAAGUUCCCGAUAGAGUCGACGAUGGAGUUGGAGCAUUUCACUAAAAAAUUUUAAAGAAUUUUACAAUGUUCUGGAAUUGGCGGUGAAGAUGAAAAUACCCAACCCAACCCAUUCAAUUAAA